CCUACGGGCGGCAGCAGUGGGGGAUAUUGCACAAUGGGGGAAACCCUGAUGCAGCGACGCCGCGUGUGGGAAGACGGUCUUCUGGAUUGUAAACCACUGUCCCCAGGGACGAAAAUGACGGUACCUGGGGAGGAAGCUCCGGCUAACUACGUGCCAGCAGCCGCGGUAAUACGUAGGGAGCAAGCGUUGUCCGGAAUUACUGGGUGUAAAGGGAGCGUAGGCGGGGAUGCAAGUUGGGUGUCAAAACUACCGGCUCAACCGAUAGUCACACUCAAAACUGCAACUCUUGAGUGAAGUAGAGGCAGGCGGAAUUCCUAGUGUAGCGGUGAAAUGCGUAGAUAUUAGGAGGAACACCAGUGGCGAAGGCGGCCUGCUGGGCUUUUACUGACGCUGAGGCUCGAAAGUGUGGGGAGCAAACAGGAUUAGAUACCCUGGUAGUC
rnacentral:rRNA from 1 species